UGCGAGAGGAGCCAGUGCUGUGUG
rnacentral:piRNA from 1 species